ACACAAAUCCUUGGGGAAUCUAGCUAAAAAGCAGAUUCUGACUUAGUGGGCCUGAGAUCAGGCUGAACAUUCUGCAUUUCUCACAAGCUCCCAGAUGAUACUGAU
rnacentral:pre_miRNA from 1 species